rnacentral:rRNA from 1 species
UACGAAGGGUGCAAGCGUUACUCGGAAUUACUGGGCGUAAAGCGUGCGUAGGUGGUGAGUUAAGUCUGUCGUGAAAGCCCUGGGCUCAACCUGGGAAUGGCAUUGGAAACUGGCGACCUAGAGUGCGGUAGAGGGUAGUGGAAUUCCCGGUGUAGCAGUGAAAUGCGUAGAGAUCGGGAGGAACAUCCGUGGCGAAGGCGACUACCUGGACAACACCUGACACUGAGGCACGAAAGCUAGGGGAGCAAACAGG